rnacentral:rRNA from 1 species
AUUGAACGCUGGCGGCAUGCCUUACACAUGCAAGUCGAACGGUAACAGGUCUUCGGAUGCUGACGAGUGGCGAACGGGUGAGUAAUACAUCGGAACGUGCCCAGACGUGGGGGAUAACGAGGCGAAAGCUUUGCUAAUACCGCAUACGAUCUAAGGAUGAAAGCAGGGGACCGCAAGGCCUUGCGCGGUUGGAGCGGCCGAGGGCAGAUUGGGUAGAUGGUGGGAUAACAGCUUACCAAGCCGACGAUCUGUAGCGGGUCUGAGAGGACGACCAGCCACACUGGGCCUGAGCCACGGCCCAGACUCCUACGGGAGGCAGCAGUGGGGAAUUUUGGACAAUGGGCGAAAGCCUGAUCCAGCAAUGCCGCGUGCAGGAUGAAGGCCUUCGGGUUGUAAACUGCUUUUGUACGGAACGAAAAGGCUCUGGCUAAUACCUGGGGCACAUGACGGUACCGUAAGAAUAAGCACCGGCUAACUACGU